rnacentral:tRNA from 1 species
UUUUUUGUAGUAUAUUUAAUUACAGUUACCUUCCAAGUAAAAAAGCUCUUAAUGAGCAUUAAUA